CCUUCGAUCGUGCUAAGUUGCUGCUAGUAGUGUAAAUAUUUUCAAGCUUUAGGAACUAUUCCCUUUAUUUGCUAGUUGAUGGUAAAUUGGAUUCUACUUCUAAAACGGAUUUUAGAAGAAAAAGUGUGUUUCAGAUGUCGGCAAUGUAUUUUUCGCGGCUGAAUCGUUGAAAUAAGGUGCACUACUGUACCGAGGAAGAAAGCUUUAACUUUAGAGCUCUGAACGUUAUGAAACUCCUGAUAACUGGACACUACUACAUGUAAUCAUCUGUAAACGAGGCGCCUUCGUAUAAUUGUAAUCCAACUUCACGUACAGACCAGGAACGGCACAGGUCGUAAAGCAGAUUUAAGAGAAGUACUGUGACGCCAGUUUCCUUAGCUAGCAUCGACAGAGCUCCGAGGCACACGCUGCUCCACACAUAAGCUGUUUGUUGCCUAUAAUCAUACAUUUAGGAAUUCGUUUAAUUGAUCCACAUACCUUUCUAUUUUACAAGAAAAACAACUGCGUAAUGAUACCUCGUGAAUGUCCAAAUUGAUUCGCUAAUUAGGCAAAUAAACUCAAGUUCAUACAACGUGCAACGUUUGCAUAGCAUUUGAAGUGUUGGAGUACUGAACUAGAUAACCAACAAACCUGGAAUUUUUGAAGAGAGCGGAAUAGCAUUCUCUUUAAUUGAAAUCAGCAUUUAAAAAUACAAUAAAAAUUUGCCCUUGAAAUAAGGUUUUUCUGAAUUUAUGCCAAAAAAGUAUGAGAAAAAAAUUAUUUAGUUCCAAGAAACAUAAUCUCGUAGUUUAGAAUAUAAAAGUGAAAGAAACCUAAAUUUU